rnacentral:lncRNA from 1 species
GAAAUAAUUCCAAAGAGGCUGCUCCACAGGACAUAUACCAGCAACCUACCCAUUACUUCAAUCAUGACCAGCUAGAGCUACAGAAGAAAAAUACUCGUGAAAAAAUAGAGGAGCUCUUGGAAAAAUCACAACUACUGGCAAACACACAACCUAUGCAUCCUUGCUUCUUUUCACCUAUCAAAAAGGUUGGGGAGGAACAACCACAGAGACAACUUACAACUAACCUGGAUGAGAGUAUUGAUCAAGGAAGCACAGAUGAAAAUUUAAGCUAUUGGGAAAUGAGAUCACCCCCUNCAGCGAAGCUGUAUAGCACAAGCAAUCAGGAAUCCAACUUGGCUAGUCUUCAUGAAUGGAAAGAAAAAGAUUAUCCUUCUGAUCACCGUUUUUUUGAAGAAAUGGGAAAUUCUGCAAAAGAUCAGGAUAUUAUUAUACAUCCUAGACUGAAAAUACAGUUGUCAAGUAAAGAAGUUUGUUCUUGUUCUUCCAGCAGAAAUAAAAAAAUACAGUAUGAAAAAACAACCAGAGGAAAAUCAAAGUGUGAAAGAUUCUCAAUCUUCUUAGAUGGAAAAGCAGCAGAUUUAGAUUCAUCAGGUAGUGAUACAGAAGACCCUUUAUUCUGUGACACCCUAGAAGAUUCAAGAUGUGAAGCAAGUCUGGAACACAGCAUUAAAAGUCAUGGAUCGUGCAAAGUGCAUCCAAAAGAGCACCAUAAAGACUUGUCCCGCAGAGAUANGAAAACCCAUUUCAGGGCCAACAAAGAAACAACUUCUUUGCAAAAGAAAAGCAUUGCCCUCCAAAGGAUUUAUAAAAAAUCUCAACCAGAACUGUUUAUUGACAGACUGUGCGACAGACAAAAUCUACAAGUUCCCCAAACUCGCUACUCAAGGAUGUAUGAUACCAUUAUCCUUUCACCACAGUAUCUUGGGAGUGGGAAAUCUUUUGCAAGGAGGUCAUUGAUUAAUUCAAGAGGAAGGCACAAUGAAGACACAAAUUCAGCGACACUAGAUUCCACAUUGGAUCAUGUUGUACAGGCUGCAAAUGACUUGAAGAAAACUACAGAGCACAUGAUGCAAGCUGUUUCAGAAGAUUUAGCCAGGGCUAAAAUUCAGACCCUUUCUAGUCUAGCAGCUAGCCAAUAUAAGUCUGAAUGUCUCUUAUGGAAACCACACUAUAUGUGAGAGACCAGACAAUAUAUAAAGAACAGAAGUGUAUAAUUUCUCAUAAAAAUUAGAUUUACUACAUGAAAAAUUAGAGAGUUAUCUAUGCCUUUUGGUGUUGCUGUAGCAAAGUUUUCUAGAAACUAACUGCUUUUAAUUAGCCUGGGUAUUAUUUUAAUUAGCCUGUUUUGUUCACAAAUUGACUAUAACCUCUG